rnacentral:lncRNA from 1 species
UUUUGUCUUAUACUUUCAUGUCAACAAGGUUAAUUAUUAAAUUCAGAAAGACAUAUUUUCCUUUAGUUCACAUAUUUUUUAUGCUGUUGUCUGUUGCUUGUUGAAACAGGGGAUGGAUAAGAAUCAGAGGAUGUAUGAGAGAUUCAUCCAAGCAAUUCAUGGAAUAAAUGUAACUGCCCUAUAAAAAAGACUCCAAAAUGAUAUCAAGAUAUUUACCAAGCCCAAAUUAUAGACUCAUUUUGAAGUGAUAACCUUUAUUUUCAUCGGGUUAUAUUCUCGCUGUUAGUUUGAGCGACAGAAUGAAAGAGAAUAGACUAACAUGUGACACUUAACAAAUGAGCUCCAUCUAAUUUCAUAUGACUUAAAACUGAUUUUAAAUUAAGAUUGAUCAUUAAAAUACAUACAUGCAGUCAUUAGCCCUUCUCAUAUUAGUUUAGAGUUAUAUUUAGUGUCAUUCUUUUGAUACUACCAAAUUACAUAAUAGUGUAUUAUAACGCCAAUUAGCUUAUAGCAACAUAAUGUCAACAUCAUUGUGUCUCCGAGGGACCAUUUGAAAAAGAAACCAGUUGAUCAUGUGUGUUUCCAAAGCACAGAAACUCUUGGGCACCACAGCAGUCCUUUUUCACGUGUAUGGCAUAUUAUGUGAUUGACUAUUUUAGUAAGAAGAUGUUAUAUAUGAUUUAACUGAGAAAAGGUUUGUUUUUUCUAAUUACUUCUAAAUCAAGAAAAAAUUUUUUUCAAUCACUGAGUACUAAAAUCAUUUUUGCUUCAAUGUACAGCCCUGGCUUAACAACCACGUUCAUCUUUCAUUCUCACCUCACAAGCAAUGGUUGUACUAAUUCAUUUAAAUUAAAAUGUUUUUUUUAAAUCUUUCAGAUCAUAUGCAAUAUACAUUAGACAUCCUUUUCUGAUAGAUAGUUAUGUGCUAGCAAUUUUUAUAUAUCAUACCAACUCUCUAGAGUAAUCUGGACUGUAAUUUUAAAUUAUAUCAUCAUUCUACCAAAACAUACACAAUUUGACAAACCAAAUUAUUAAAACACACAACAUUAAAUGCUAGUAUCAUUCAUCAGUUAUUGCAUGCAGGAUAAAUUAGAAGUGACAAUGGAGAUACAGUUUCAGUAAAUUGGGUAAAAUAUUAUGUUUCAAUAAGAAUGCCUAUUUUAAAAAGCAGUGAAAUGAGAGCGAUGAAAUACUACAGGUAGCUUCAGCAACACAUCACGGAGAGGCAGUGUAAUUUUCACAUUCAAUCUGACUGUUUCCAUAUUCAGUCUGCUAAUAUUGUGUACAUGCUCAAGGAAACGAUAGUAUUAGACAAUGUUUCAUCCAUAAUACACUUCCAAUAAAAAGUGGAAUUUACUCCUUAUUUAGUCUCAUUAGUUUUAGAGCAGUAAAACUCAAAAAAUUUUCCUGUGGAAAGAGUGUUGUACGUUUUUAAUGGUAUGUCAAAUGACAAUUUUUAGGAAUAUUUCAUCACAUGUAAAGUUAUAAUUUUAAUCUGUGAGCCUAAUUUUGUAAAAUCACCUUAAGUCAAGUCUAUAAAUAUUGCAUCAUAAUGGAAUCAAAGAUAUAACAAUGUCCAUGAUAUAAAUGUGUCACCCUUUUUAGGAAACAUGUAUUUUUAAUUUUAGGAAAAUAUUAAAUGCAAUGCCUUUAUCC